AUUAAAGAAAAUAAUAUCUACGUGUCCAUGUAUAUCUCUACUUGUGAAGCUCUUGGGAUGCCUCAAGAAACGAUUCCAGAAGAAGAUGAAGAGGGAAGCCAUGCGGAUAAACAAACUCCACAAGAAAUAAAAAUUAUCUCCUCAGUUGGAAGAGGUAAGAAGGGAAUGGUGUUGCCUUUCCAACCCUUGGCAAUGGCAUUCAAAAAUGUCAGUUACUUCAUCGACAUGCCUGCGGUUGAUGCAAUGUGACAUAUAUUAUGUUCAAGCUCAAGAGCAGUGUGUACAUUGAAUAUAAUUCACACACCAUGGUUAAUAGAAAGUGGUUUUGUUAACGAUCAUGCUCUCGACCUUAUAAAAAGGUUUCUGACAAACAAGAUUAUUGAUGUCCUUCUUUAUGUGGAUCGGCUAGAUAGUUAUCAAGUUGAUAACUUGGAUAAACAAAUCCAAAAGGUUAUUUAUGAUACUUUUCAAAAACAAUUAUGGUAGGCAAGCUUGGUGAUCUUUACACAUGCUCAACUCUCUCUUCCAGAUGGCUUAAAUUUUGCUAACUUUAUUCAAAGGAGAUCAGCGGCAUUGCAUUAUGCAAUUCUUGAAGUAACUGGGUUCAAGAAAUCUGAUAUCCAGGUGACUUACAAUAAUACUAUGCAUGCUUUCUACAAAUGCUAGUAAGCUAUUACAAUUUCAUGAGCCAUUCAUUCUAAUGGAAACUCAUGCACACAUUGGAAGCUCUUCAUGCUCCAACCCC